CAAGAUGCACAGGACAUAGCUGUCGCGGCAACGCGAGAGAGGAAAGUCCGGACUGCGUGGGACGGCACACCGGCUAACGACCGGGCGGGGUGACCCGACGAUUAGAGGAACAGUAACGUAUGCGAUUAAGUUCGUUUGAAACGGCCAAUCUCUGUGUGCAGCAACUUCAAAUAGGCCCCCAAUGGUUUGUCCCAAUCCGGGGGCGGGUAGAGGGCUUGAUGCCCAGUGGUAACAUUGGGUACAGAUUAAUUAUGUCCGCCACCCCGCUGUGGUUGGAAACGACUGGGGCAGGGCGUGUACAGAAUCCGGCUUAUCGUGCAUCUGGACAA
rnacentral:RNase_P_RNA from 1 species